GCUGUGUCCAGCUGUGUCCAGCCGUGUCCGACCAUGUCUGGCCAUGUCUGACCAUGUCCAGCUGUGUCCAGCUGUGUCCGGCCGUGUCCAGAGCCGUGUCCAGCUGUGUCUGACCAUGUCUGACCAUGUCUGACCAUGUCCAGCUGUGUCCAGCUGUGUCCAGCUGUGUCCAACCAUGUCCAGCCAUGUCUGGCCAUGUCCAGCCAUGUCCGAUCGUGUCCAGCCGUGUCCAGAGCCGUGUCCAGCUGUGUCCAACUAUGUCCGGUCAUGUCCGACCAUGUCCGACCAUGUCCAGCUGUGUCCAGCCAUGUCCAGCCAUGUCUGGCCGUGUCCAGAGCCGUGUCCGGCCUUGUCCAACCAUGUCCAGUCAUGUCCAGCCGUGUCUGACUGUGUCCGGCCAUGUCCAGCUGUGUCCGUACCUGUCCAGCCGCAGGGCUGCCGGAGGGUCAGCGAGGCGUUGUUGGAGGACACGGCGUUGCUGACCUUGCAGGUGAAGGUUUCCCCCUCGGGGCUGAAGGAGAUGUUCAGGACGGGGCCGUCCUCCACCAGGACCCUCUGGGGUGGGAUCCACUCGUAG
rnacentral:lncRNA from 1 species